GCGAUAUAGCUCAGUUGGUAGAGUGCCUGCCUCACAUGCACAAGUUCCUGGGUUUAAUCCCCAGCAACACA
rnacentral:tRNA from 1 species